ACUCAAAUGAAUUGACGGGGACCCGCACAAGUGGUGGAGCAUGUGGUUUAAUUCGAUGGUAAGCGAAGCACCUCACCCAGGCUUGACAUCUCUGGAAAGCCUAAGAAACUAGGCCGUGCCGUAAGGAAUCAGAUGACAGGUGUUGCACGGCUGUCGUCAGCUCGUGCUGUGAAGUGUACGGUUAAGUCCGUCAACGAGCGCAACCCUCGUCGUAUGUUGAAUUUUUCAUACGAGACUGCCGGCGUUAAGUCGGAGGAAGGUGGGGAUGACGUCAAGUCAGCGUGACCCUUACGCCUGGGGCGACACACGUGCUACAAUGGGAAGUAACAAUGGGCUGCCAAACCGCAAGGUGGAGCUAAUCCCAUCAAACCUUCCCCCAGUUCGGAUUGAAGGCUGCAACUCGCCUUCAUGAAGUCGGAAUCACUAGUAACGGCUGGUCAGCCAUACAGCCGUGAAUACGUUCUCGGGUCUUGCACACACCGCCCGU
rnacentral:rRNA from 1 species